UGUCCGCCCUUUCCCAUCCUCCUAUCAGAUAUGUUGAUUCGCCUCACCUGGAUCUUUUUAAAGGCUGGGUUCCCGUGCAGUAAGGGGAAUGGAAUGUAGAGAGACGAGGAGGUUGUUGGGCGGCGGCACCUGUCUUCAGUAAACUACUUGUCUUGCCUUUUUCGUUGCUGUUACUUGUGAGUCUGGCAGAGAGUGGCAACAGUGCAGGGCUGAGACUCAGAGCUGCGCUCCUUCCCCUCCAAGCAGGGUGGCACCGCUGCCCCAAAUUGAGACCCAGAACCGCCAUUACUGCUCCCCGGGUCCGACUCAGAAGCCCCGCUGUGUUGCGGCCCCCGGAUGUGCACCUCGGCCUCUCAGAACGGACCCCCGCACCCGGACCCCCGCAUUAGGUUAGCGGUCCCAUCAUUUUUGUCCAUGCCAUUUUCAUUUGUUUUAUUAUUUACAAUAUUAUGUUGAAUAAAAAAUCAAAAGAAAAGUCUGAUUUCUAUUAAAUAUGGAAUAAACAAUGGUGGAUGCCAA